CUGAACCUUAGUUUGAUCAGUGGUGGCUGCAAGAAGCAACAAUGGAUGUUAAAAACAGAAAAUAGCAGCAAAAAAAUUAUAAAAUUAAAGAUGCUGCUCAAUUAAAUCUGCAGCAACCUUCAUGUAUAUGGCGCCAUGGCUUUAAUUGGUUUAUGGUGAACAGUCGAGUUUUGAAAGGAUUCUCGCUGCAUGUUCUAUUUUAUCCCAGGGUCUGUGACCAGUGACAAGUUUGUGGCUGUUUGAUUUUAUUGUUGUCAGUAUAUAUAUUAACGUACGUAUAUAGUUACUGUAUACAUGGAAAUAUUCGCCCCCCCCCCUUUUUUUUCGCCCCUUUCGCCCUCGUUGUCAUCGGGCGAAUUAAAGACUGGGCGAAAACGAGGUUUAAAUUAUCUCUCUUUAAACAAACCAAAACUGUUUUCAGUGAAGAAGAGCAAAAACAUCGUAGAGCAAAAAUAACCCUGUUUAUAGUAUAUACAUGUAUUUGUCAUAAACCAUAAAAAUCUAU